GGCGAACGCUGGCGGCAGGCUUAACACAUGCAAGUCGAGCGCCCGGAGCAAUCCGGGAGCGGCAGACGGGAGAGUAACACGUGGGAACGUACCUUUCAGUUCGGAACAACCCAGGGAAACUUGGGCUAAUACCGAAUACGUCCGUAAGGAGAAAGAUUUAUCGCUGAAAGAUCGGCCCGCGUCUGAUUAGCUAGUUGGUGAGGUAAUGGCUCACCAAGGCGACGAUCAGUAGCUGGCUGAGAGGAUGAUCAGCAUCACUGGGACUGAGACACGGCCCAGACUCCUACGGGAGGCAGCAGUGGGGAAUAUUGGACAAUGGGCGCAAGCCUGAUCCAGCCAUGCCGCGU
rnacentral:rRNA from 1 species